UACGUAGGGGGCAAGCGUUGUCCGGAUUUAUUGGGCGUAAAGAGCGUGUAGGCGGCCUGAAAGGUCAGCUGUGAAAACUCGAGGCUCAACCUCGAGACGUCGGUUGAAACCAUCUGGCUAGAGUCCGGAAGAGGAGUGUGGAAUUCCCGGUGUAGCGGUGAAAUGCGCAGAUAUCGGGAAGAACACCCGUGGCGAAGGCGGCACCCUGGGACGGUACUGACGCUGAGACGCGAAAGCGUGGGGAGCGAACAGG
rnacentral:rRNA from 1 species